ACUAACUAGGAUUCCCUCAGUAGCGGCGAGCGAACAGGGAAGAGCCCAGCACCGAAUCCCGCGCCCCCGGCGCCGGGAAAUGUGGUGUUUGGGAGGGUCCGUUAUCCCGGGGCCCGGCGCGCGGUCCAAGUCCCUCUUGAACGGGGCCAUUCACCCACAGAGGGUGCCAGGCCCGUAGGACCGCCGCCGGCCGUGGGAGGACUCCUCCUCAGAGUCGGGUUGCUUGAAAAUGCAGCCCUAAGAGGGUGGUAAACUCCAUCUAAGGCUAAAUAUGACCACGAGACCGAUAGCGAACAAGUACCGUGAGGGAAAGUUGAAAAGAACUUUGAAGAGAGAGUUCAAUAGUACGUGAAACCGUUCAGGGGUAAACCUGAGAAACCCGAAAGGUCGAACGGGGAGAUUCAGUCGCGUCUCGGCGGCGGAGCGCGGCGGGCGCGCGACGGCCGCCACCUCGGUGGCGGUCGCGCCGCCGGCCCGCAGCCGUCCGUCGAACGCGUGCACUUCUCCCCGAAGUAGGACGUCGCGACCCGUUGGGGGCCGGCCUAAGGCCCGCGGUGGAGCCCGCGCGGCGACCUCGGUCGCCCGCGCGGACCCGCGGUGUCCCGGCCGGCCCGACGACGGUACGAUUAAGGCGCGGGGCCGCGACAUGUUCGCGCCCGGCCCGUCGCAAGCGCAGCCGGAAGCUCGGCGGUCGGACCUAGCGCCGGCCCCGGGCCCCGGCGGCUGUUGGCGGCGGUGCCCUCGGGCUGACCCCGUUAGCCGGUCGGCGGCGCUAUAGCUUUGGGUACUUUCAGGACCCGUCUUGAAACACGGACCAAGGAGUCUAGCAUGUGCGCGAGUCAUUGGGACUAGCGAAACCUAAAGGCGAAAUGAAAGUGAAGGCCCGCCUCGCGCGGGCCGAGGACGGAUGGGCGGCGGCUCGCCGCCGCCCCGCACGUCCGGGGCGUCCCGAUCUCAUCGCGAGAUGGGGCGCACCCAGAGCGUACACGCUGGGACCCGAAAGAUGGUGAACUAUGCCUGGUCAGGACGAAGUCAGGGGAAACCCUGAUGGAGGUCCGCAGCGAUUCUGACGUGCAAAUCGAUCGUCGGAACUGGGUAUAGGGGCGAAAGACUAAUCGAACCAUCUAGUAGCUGGUUCCCUCCGAAGUUUCCCUCAGGAUAGCUGGCGCUCGCCUGUACGAGUCUCAUCCGGUAAAGCGAAUGAUUAGAGGCAUUGGGGUCGAAACGGCCUCAACCUAUUCUCAAACUUUAAAUGGGUGAGAUCUCCGGCUUGCUCGAACGUGAAGCCGCGAGACCUCGGAUCAGAG
rnacentral:rRNA from 1 species